GGGCGGGUAGCUCAGGGGGAGAGCACUGCCUUCACACGGCAGGGGUCGGAGGUUCAAAUCCUCUCCCGCCUA
rnacentral:tRNA from 1 species